GACGAACGCUGGCGGCGUGCUUAACACAUGCAAGUCGAACGGAAAGGCCCUGCUUUUGUGGGGUGCUCGAGUGGCGAACGGGUGAGUAACACGUGAGUAACCUGCCCUUGACUUUGGGAUAACUUCAGGAAACUGGGGCUAAUACCGGAUAGGAGCUCCUGCUGCAUGGUGGGGGUUGGAAAGUUUCGGCGGUUGGGGAUGGACUCGCGGCUUAUCAGCUUGUUGGUGGGGUAGUGGCUUACCAAGGCUUUGACGGGUAGCCGGCCUGAGAGGGUGACCGGCCACAUUGGGACUGAGAUACGGCCCAGACUCCUACGGGAGGCAGCAGUGGGGAAUAUUGCACAAUGGGCGGAAGCCUGAUGCAGCAACGCCGCGUGCGGGAUGACGGCCUUCGGGUUGUAAACCGCUUUCGCCUGUGACGAAGCGUGAGUGACGGUAAUGGGUAAAGAAGCACCGGCUAACUACGUGCCAGCAGCCGCGGUGAUACGUAGGGUGCGAGCGUUGUCCGGAUUUAUUGGGCGUAAAGGGCUCGUAGGUGGUUGAUCGCGUCGGAAGUGUAAUCUUGGGGCUUAACCCUGAGCGUGCUUUCGAUACGGGUUGACUUGAGGAAGGUAGGGGAGAAUGGAAUUCCUGGUGGAGCGGUGGAAUGCGCAGAUAUCAGGAGGAACACCAGUGGCGAAGGCGGUUCUCUGGGCCUUUCCUGACGCUGAGGAGCGAAAGCGUGGGGAGCGAACAGGCUUAGAUACCCUGGUAGUCCACGCUGUAAACGGUGGGUACUAGGUGUGGGGUCCAUUCCACGGGUUCCGUGCCGUAGCUAACGCUUUAAGUACCCCGCCUGGGGAGUACGGCCGCAAGGCUAAAACUUAAAGGAAUUGACGGGGCCCCGCACAAGCGGCGGAGCAUGCGGAUUAAUUCGAUGCAACGCGUAGAACCUUACCUGGGUUUGACAUGGAUCGGGAGCGCUCAGAGAUGGGUGUGCCUCUUUUGGGGUCGGUUCACAGGUGGUGCAUGGCUGUCGUCAGCUCGUGUCGUGAGAUGUUGGGUUAAGUCCCGCAACGAGCGCAACCCUUGUUCACUGUUGCCAGCACGUUAUGGUGGGGACUCAGUGGAGACCGCCGGGGUCAACUCGGAGGAAGGUGGGGAUGACGUCAAGUCAUCAUGCCCCUUAUGUCCAGGGCUUCACGCAUGCUACAAUGGCUGGUACAGAGAGUGGCGAGCCUGUGAGGGUGAGCGAAUCUCGGAAAGCCGGUCUCAGUUCGGAUUGGGGUCUGCAACUCGACCUCAUGAAGUCGGAGUCGCUAGUAAUCGCAGAUCAGCAACGCUGCGGUGAAUACGUUCCCGGG
rnacentral:rRNA from 1 species